rnacentral:sRNA from 1 species
UGAUACAUAGAGUCACUGUGCCAAUAUAUGUGUUGGUUUGGUGCUAAUGUUCUCGUAGAGUAAACGUCAGUAUUAUGCACCAGUCUGUGUUUAAUGGCUUACUGGUCACCUUAACCUGAGC